GCUAGUUGCAACUUUACGGAAACCCUAUACAGCCAUAUCACAAUAAUAUACAUGGUAGAUUAAACGACAAACCUUUAGUAAUUGUCUAAUAAGGUUUCUCUUUUUCUUCUUUUUUCCUUCAAGAACUAGAAAGAAAAGGGUUUAUCUUUGAAUAGACAUAAAGCCAUUGGCUUUUAAUUCUCACUAAAAUAUGAUAUAAAAAGAAAGAAGAAAUUUCAGAAACAAUAUAAAUUCUAAAUUUGAUGAUCACAUAUUCAAAUUUCAUUCACUUAUUUUUAUUUAGUAUUAUUAGAAUAAAUUCAGAAAGAAAAAUUUUAGAUUACAAUCAUUAUAU
rnacentral:misc_RNA from 1 species